rnacentral:lncRNA from 1 species
AGCCUACAAAGAUGAACAAUACACUUUAAGUUAAAGAGGAAUGCGCUGAGGGCAGAAGGAAUUGAAAUGAUUUACCUUUUGAUAACUAUUUCGUGUAACAAAUCAGGGACAUUCCAACUAGAGACUUGGGUAUUACCCCUCCAAAAAAGGAAAGAAAGUAUGAAAAGAGAUGACUCCCAAAUAAGUUACUUUACACUAAAAGAAAUAACAAUAAUGGCCUAGGUACUCAACCUGUUUAAAAAUUGACACAAGUCUAUAAGUUUUUCCAUCAAAAUCAAACAAGGAUGUAAUGUCACACGAGAGUUAAUCUUAAUCUUCAUUCCACAAGACCUUCCUAUAUACAUCACCAGAGGAAAGUCCAUGAUAAGAUCUCCACUCAAAAACUUACCAACUCAAGCCAUUCUUUUCAGUCACAUGAAAGCGGCAUUGCAGACUUCCAAAUAAGUUAAUUUACACUAAAGAAAGAACCACAACUGCGUAGGUCCUCAACCUGGAUAAAACUUAACAUAAGUCUACAAGGUUUCCCUUCAAAAUCAAACAAGAAUGUAAUGUCACAAGAAAUUUCAUUCUAAUUUUCAUUUUAGAGGACUGUCUUCCAAUAACAAGUGCACUCUCUGUCUAUAUCCACUCAUACAUCACCAGAGAAAAAUCCAUGAUAAGGUCACACUCAAAAACUUACCAAUAUUAGACAUGUUAAUCAGUUCAUCUCUAUGCAGAGGCGGAUUCAGGAUUUAAACUUUAUGGGUUCAUAUUCGCAAUUCUACCACAUUUCAGCUAAUAUAAUGGGUUCAAAAUUUAUUAUUUGUAUAUAUAUUAAGGUGGAUCCAAGAUUUAAACUUUAUGGCUUCAAAUUCGCAAUUCUACCACAUCUCAUCUAAUAUAAUGGAUUCAACAUUUAUUAUUUCUACAUAUUUAAUAAUUUUUUGGACAGGGAAUGAGCGAAAGCUAUGGGUUACGAUGAACCCAUAGCUUUUACACUGGAUACAGCUUUGUCUCUAUGCUUUACUACCUCAAUAUUAAUAGGCUUAAAGGGAUAUCUACCAAAUUCCAAAGUAAACGAAGAGUAAUAUAAUGGCAAAAUACAUAGUUUACCCAUCGACUUUGUACCCAAAUAACUCCUACACACUUGUUCACCACGGGAACAAUAUUACACACUCAAUCUUUCAAAAGUGUGUCAAUAACACACCACUUUUGACCAGUCCAAGUAAUAGUCUAUGCUGUGUAUCACACGCGCUUCUCUAAAUUAAAGGACUCUUUUAAUCACCCAACCCGUUUAAAGAUCCGACCCACUCAAAUAAAAAAAGCCAACAAAGUGCACCACCUUCCCUACUACUGCACCAUCUUCUCCACCAUUGCAAACCCUUCUUUGUAAAAAAAAUAUUCUACCAUAGUUACCACAAAAAUAUUAGUUGUAACGCCCAAAUAGAUACACAGAAAUAACAUAUCCAAAAAAACUUCACUGGCCGGAAUUUCGCCUGAAACUCCAUCUCCGAUCAACCCUUCAUUUUGGUAUUAUCUCUUCUUUUUCACAAAACUCAAUAAUGGUAAGCCAGAAGAAAAUAACGAAAAGGAAAAAUUUUAGUUCUUUAUUUGGCACACUUGAAAGAACCAAAAAAAUCACUUUGUCAACAAAAUUCCAAAACAAGAAAUUGAAAACUUAAUAUCUUCUGCAAUUCUUGCCAUCUCAGUGACAUAACUACCACCAAGAAAUUUUUGGAGAAAUUUUGAAUCUUGAGCAACCAAAAGAAAAUGAAAUAGGAGAAGGUUGAAUCGGCGAAUAAGACGAAAUAGGGGGAGGGGAGAUGAAACCUGGGGGUGGGGAACUAGGAAGAAGACGUGAGGUGGGGGAUUGGGGCGUGGAAGAAGACAAGAGUGGGAGGGGUUAUUUUUUAUUUUUUAAAUUUGUUAACUGGAGUAAAAAGGGAAAAAAACUUAAAAAUUAGACACAUGGAUUCUUAAUAAAC